AGCGCAGAGAAUGUACCUGGGAAGAUGAGCUUGCAUGGAGCCAGGCAAAGCAGAUUACAAUCUGGGCUCUCUUCUCAUAUUGAAGGCGUGAUUCUUCCUCAGCAAGACAAAAGGCUCACGCUGUGAAAAGCAUGAGGGAACUGAGUGAAAUCCAGACCGUCUUCCUCUUACACAGGGCACAGCUCCCUCAGAGGGAAGGCAGGAAGAACCACCUGUGAAUUGUCAUUUUUUACCCACUGCCUGGAACACAGUAAGCUCCAAGCAGAGAGACACGGCGGUGGGGAAGACACCUAGACUUCGGGAUUUCCAGGACUGGC